rnacentral:lncRNA from 10 species
GUUUCAUGCUUUGAGGGGGCUGCACAAAACAUGCAUACCGAAGAAAGGCAGCAAGAGGGAACUAAACAGAAAACCAAUCAAGUUGAAUAAUCUCGAUAUAAUAGAUAAAUUAUUAUUUUUGUACUUACCGAGAUCUGCAUUCUUUCUUGAUAUAGAUUCUGAGUAAAGACAGUUUAAAGAGUUAGGGUUUUUUUUUUUCCCGCUUCACUGGGAAAGACUUUAUCUGGACUUCAUUUUUACACAUACCAUGAAAGCCAAUUGAGAAAAUAAUGAAGAAAUGCAAGGCAAUUUAACUCUGACUCUACAUGUAUCUGAAACAAUCCACAAACGAAGCUCUGCAGUCACAGUCACCUUCCCUUGAGCAGGGCUGUCACUCAAACAUGCCCUUUGUGAGUUUCACUGCAUUCCCUGCAAACUGGGGUUUACCUGUUUACCCCUAUCCUGUAUGCUUCCUGAGAUGCCAUCUGGCAGGUCUCAGUGGGAAAACAGUAGUAUCUGUGAAAAAUAUUGUUAUACUUGAGACGGAAGACACUCCCUGUGCUCCAGGCUUUCUUCAAUGGAAGGCAGGGAUUUCAACCUGGGCAACAAGUCCACAGAACAUGAGAUUUCUGAAGGUGUGUGGGAUACAUCAUGGUUACAUAAAAAUCCUUUCACUAUAGUUCCUGCUUCCCUAUCUUCAAAAUGAUUCCCUGAAGACUUCCGCCAUGACGGUCUAAAGCCUAACCUCUGAACUGUGGAUGGAAAAUUGAACUCCUUGAUGUGAUCUCUGCACAUCAUGCAACCCUAAACCUAAAUAUAUUCUCUGUGUGGGA